AUAAGAGGUCCCGCCUGCCCUGUGACUAUGGGUUUAACGGCCGCGGUAUUUUGACCGUGCGAAGGUAGCGCAAUCACUUGUCUUUUAAAUGAAGACCUGUAUGAAUGGCAUCACGAGGGCUUAGCUGUCUCCUCUCCCAAGUCAAUGAAAUUGAUCUGUCCGUGCAGAAGCGGGCAUAAGUACAUAAGACGAGAAGACCCUAUGGAGCUUUAGACACCAGGCAGAUCACGUCAAGUAACCUUAAAUUAAUAAGUGGAAACGCAGUGACCCCUAGCCCAUAUGUCUUUGGUUGGGGCGACCGCGGGGGAAAAUAAAGCCCCCAUGUGGACUGGGGGCACUGCCCCCACAGCCGAGAGCUACAGCUCUAAGCACCAGAAUUUCUGACCAAAAAUGAUCCGGCGAACGCCGAUCAACGGACCGAGUUACCCUAGGGAUAACAGCGCAAUCCUCUCCCAGAGUCCCUAUCGACGAGGGGGUUUACGACCUCGAUGUUGGAUCAGGACAUCCUAAUGGUGCAGCCGCUAUUAAGGGUUCGUUUGUUCAACGAUUAAAGUCC
rnacentral:rRNA from 1 species